rnacentral:rRNA from 1 species
AAACACGGACCAAGGAGUCUAUACUGUACGCGAGUCAAAGGGCUGGCUAAACCCCAAGGCGAAAUUAAAGUGAAAUCCUUGUUACACAAAUAAUAACGGGCCGAUCCGAGUUCGCCAGCACGGCGGCGAAGGGCGGCGGCGGCGGCCGUUUCUUAACGGUCGUCGCCGUCGUCGCCGUCCUCUGCUGACGAUUUACUUACCGCACCACCGGCAGAAGAUCGGCGCAGGCCCGGGGCUCGCUAGUCUCUUCCCUCUUGUCACUUUCAAUGCCACGAGGGCGGUUGUUUUUUAAUUGCCGCUCUCUCGCAGACGUGGGAAGAACGGUGAGUACCUUGAGCGUACAUAGUAGGACCCGAAAGAUGGUGAUCUAUGCCUGGCCAGGAUGAAGCCAGAGGAAACUCUGGUGGAAGUCCGAAGCGGUUCUGACGUGCAAAUCGAUCGUCUGAGC